rnacentral:lncRNA from 1 species
GCACCUGCACUCCCGCGUGGCGGUUUUGGGGAUCCUUCAGGGUCCCCCCUGGAGAUUCUGCCUUUCCCGGCCGCGGUGUCUUCAAAUUCCAAGAUUCCAGAGUCGUCCGUUCUACACUGGACAGAAUCAGCAAAGGCAAAGCACCUCUGUGAGCGAAGGGGUCUCGGAUCGGCCUCCGCGGACCACCCGGGGCGGCGGCGCUCCAAGAUUGGGCUGGUGGAGGACCCGCCCGGAAGUGUCGAGCGGGCCGCCCCGGAAGUGCCGGGACUUCCGGCCCGCGGGCGGCGGUGGCAGCGAUUACGCUGCUCGGGCUCACCUGCGGACGCGAGUCCCGCGUCCGAGGGAAGCACGCGGGUGUCUGGCCGGCCGCCCCUCCGGCCGCGGACCCGACGCCCCAGUGCGGCCCGGUCUUUCCCACGGCCUCCCGAGAUUUAUGGAGCCGCCGUGACCACGCGCACCCCUGGUAGCUGUGGUGUAGCCCCCAGCCGACCCUCCGGCCGCCUUUCCGAACAGAUGGGGAAACUGCGGAGGACUGGAAAUACGCACUUGGGGCAGGCUUCCUCUUCCACCCGGGCGCCCGGGACGUUUCCUGGUCCCAGCUCUUGCACAGUCAAGAAGUAAUCUAGCAAGAAAUAUCAGCCCUGGGAGCCAAGGGAGGGAGAAUCACUGUCUCCAACUCCUACCCAGGAACGCACCAUUAAAAUCUCAACUAUAGGAACCCUUUAUCCCACGAGAGGGUUGUAAGUAUUAAACUUUGACAUUCUGUAGUUUUCUGAAGAUUCUACAAUAAGGCACCUGAGAAGACUCUUUUUUUUUUUAAGUUAAUAUAACGUAUCAAUGUAGGUGUGCUGUUAUGAACCCUCAGCAGAAUCUGCUUCAAAGUGAGGGUAGAACAAGAGGGCACCCGGCUCACCUGCCAUUUCCACAGUAUGUUAUUGAUAAAGAAUUCUGUCUUUGCUGCCUGUUGUCUGAGACAAGCUGUAUUCUGUUUUUUUUAUGUGUCUUUGACUCUGCUUAAGGUGGUUUUGUUAUUUUACCUUGCAGGAAUUUUGAUUCUUUGUAUUGAUUUCAAAUUUAUCUUUUCAUUUAUAGCCUCUGGAUUUGGGCUUAUAAUUAGAAAGGCCUUCCUACUCUGAGGUUAUUAAAGACUUCUCCCACAUUUUCCUCUGGUACGUUUAUAGUUUUCGUUUAUAACAUUUGAAACUUUGAUUUAGGGGCGCCCAGGUGGCUCAGUUGUUUGAGCAUCCGACUUCGGCUCAGGUCAUGAUCUCGCAGUCUUUGAGUUCAAGCCCCACGUUGGGCUCUGUGCUGACAGCUCAGAGCCUGGAACCUGCUUCGGAUUCUGUGUCUCCCUCUCUCUCUCUGCCCCUCCCCCGCUUAUGCUUGGUUUUCUCUCUCUCUCUCUCUCUGUCAAAAAUAAAUACACAUUAAAAAAAUUAAAAAAAUGUUUUAAAAUAAAUAAAUAAAACUUUGAUUUAUUUGGAAUAUUGACCUGUAUAUCGACUGAGGAAGGAAUCCAAUUUAACAUUUUUCCAGAUGAUUACCUAGUUCUCACCAUACAUUUAUUGAGGAGUCUACUCGUCUUUUUCUUACUGAUUUAGUACCUUUUUUCUAUGCUAAAUUUCUCCCUCUGAUUGCAUCUAUUUCUGGACUUUCUAUUCUGUGCCAUUUGUCUCACCACUAUCACACUGCCUCACUGAGGCUUUGUAAUAUGUUUAUGAUCACUUAGGAAAAGUGCUCCUUCAUUGCCCUCCUUUUCAGAGUUGUCCCAGGGAGUCUUGCUUGUUUACUUACUUGUCUAUGUGAACGUUAAAAUCUAUUUACAAAAAAGUUGGUAUUUUUUAUUGGAAUAGUAUUAAAUUUACAAAUUAAGAAGUAGUUUCUGAGUGCAAAGUGGAGGGAUUUUAGGACUGCAAUCGAUCUGGGUUCAAAUUUCAUCUGUCUCCUUUUUUUUUUUUUUUUAAGCUUUCUGCUUUUUAUUUAUUUGCUUAUUUUACUUUUUUUAAGAUUUUAUUUAAGUUGAAGUUAGCUAACAUAUAGUAUAGUAUUGGUUUCAGGAGUAGAAUUUACUGAUUCAUCACUUACAUGCAACCCAGUGCUCAUCACAAGUGUCCUCCUUAAUGCCCAUCACCCAUUUAGCCCAUCCCCCCCUCCCCAAACCCCUCUAGCAACCCUCAGUUCUCAGUAUUUAAGAGUCUCUCGUGGGGGAGCCUGGUUCGCUCAGUUGGUUAGGUGUCUGACUUCAGCUCAGGUUAUGAUCUCACAGUUCGUGGGUUUGAGCCCCACAUCUGGCUCUGUGCUGACAGCUCAGAGCCUGGAGCUUGCUUCAGAUUCUCUCUCUCUCUCUCUCUCUCUCUCUGCCCCUCCCCCGCUUGUGCUCUGUCUCUCUCA